rnacentral:lncRNA from 1 species
CUCAGCUUGCAGACAGCCGACUGUGGGACCUUGUGAUCAUAAUACCACAGUCUGGAGGCUAUGAAGUCCAUGAUUAAGAAGCCAGCACGUUUGCUUUCUGGUUCCAAGAUGGCAUACCUUUUUGCUGCUUCCUCCAGAGAGGAGGAACACUGUGUUCUCACAUAGUAGAAGAUGGAAGGAGCAGAUGCAGAUGAGCAUGGCAAUGUGAGAAUAUGUCAGAGGCCCCAGGAUGAAAUGAGCUCAAGUCCCUGAAAUCCCUGUUAGAAGAGUCUUUCCACUGGUUGGGAAUGCUAAUUGUAUUUUGACAACUCAAUGUUUCAGCAACUCAAAAUGUUACAGCUUCUGCAUUGGAAUAAAAAAAGGAAAGAAAACAGAAUUUGUACUCAUAUCAGAAGGCAAUCAAAGAACAUACACAUAAUAUACAUUCUAUUAUAGAGCCCCCAAGCUGUAUGAACUUUAGACCCCACAUAACCUGAAUCCAACCCUGCUUAUAAUGUCCAAGUUGUAAGGAAUCAAUACUUAUUAAAUGUUGACAAAUAAAGGGAAAUAAUUAGGAGAAGAAAUGCUUACUGCCAAUACCAUGACAGAUAACAAAUUAUCAGGCAUGUAUCUUAGCAUGCAGAGAAGGGACUGAAUGAAUAUGCCCAAAGAUGUGUAACACUCAUUGUCUCUGGGGAGAUGAAGAAGAAGUAUGGAAGAAGUAAGAUGAAGAAGAAGUAUGGAAGAAGUAAGCUUUAGAACCAUGCAGAAAGAAGAGUGCUUCACAGAAUGAUUGCUUUAUGAAGCAUAAGGAGAAACAGAUGAACAUGUGAACAGUGAAAGAUCUUUUCCAUGGAACUGUGUUCAUCCUCUGAUUAAAACGAAUUGUGUAAAGUUGUAUAUUGUAUUUCACCCUUAGCAUUUGGAAAUGUGCAUGUAAUUUUGGUUUUGGUGCUUCAUUACAAUAAUGCGUAGAAAGAAAAAAGGUAUUUAUAGAAUAUUGCAAAAGCAAAUUUGUAGGAUAAAAUAUGUCUGGCCAUGUGUAUUAGAUACUAGUUAACUCAUAUCAUUACUUCAUUGGUACUUCACUAAAUUAUGUCACAAAAGCAAAUACAGGAUUUUCCAGAGCAUGCUUUUGGAAAAAUCUGAAGUUUUAUUGAGGACUCAUUAAUUUUCCCUGUCCCAUAACUUACAAUUUAUUUCACAAGCAUUAUAAACUUCAGAUCAUUCAGAUAUUGCAUUUUAGUAUUGUAAAUUAUAAGAAUAGAUUUAGAAUGCAUACUUUUUGAGGAUAGGUUGCUUUCCUUAAUGAAAGUAUCAUAUUUUUAGUUUACAGUGAAAUUUAAAGAAUGGUUUAUUAUUUGAGCUACAAUUGCAAAAACUUUAGAUAAUACAUUUAAACUUGGCAUUAGAAAGAAAAAAACUUUCUAAAUAGAAAAACUUUUCAACUUUUCUAUUUUUCAACUAGAAAUUUAUACAGUUAGAAUGUUUUUAAAGAAAAAGUUUUAUCUGUAAGGGAAGUGCUUACUGCCAACAUAUUUCACCAAAGCUUAAAUUCUCAAGAGGACAUGUCAUCCUUAUAAGCAAACCAUUCUGAUUACAUCAAUCACAUUAUAUUACCUUGGGUGACUGACUUGCAUGAGAAACCAGCAGUUGUGACUUGAAUUGCAAUAUGCAAGACAGUAAAAACCAUAUUUUACUUUAAAAUAUAUUAAUGUAUUACUUUUCCUAAUAAAAUACAUUGAAAAUUUUUAUCAGUAGCCAGGAAAUUAUAGAACUAGGCAGUUGUAUUCCUGAAGCACUUUCAGUGUUCAUGAUAAUUAAUUUGAGAAGUAGACUCUUAUCACACAGUAGCAUCUGUUGAACAUUCUUGUUUUUGGUAAAAUUAAUUUCUGACUGAUUCAUGAAAUAAAUGAUAAGGAACAUAAAUUCAGCUCUUUACUGUAUGACUCAUGUAACCUAUGACUUUUUGGGGGAAGUUUCACAUAAUGGGAAUACAUUAAGAAAUGUUUUAAAUAAAAACACAUAUAACUAACCUUUUCUCUUAGAUCUCAGGCUCUAUCUCCUACUGUUUCAAAGCUCUAUGAUUACAAAUAUUUUAAUAAGGUCAAUGUUAGUAUAUUAUAAAGUUAUGAAGUAGUCAUAUACUGAAAACUAAGUUCAUUGAAAAAUUUCCCAGAGAGAUUAGGUAGAACCUCAAAUAAGAUAAUGUUGUUUUCUCUAAGGUUCAUUUGCCUGAGAUUACUGGCAAUCAGGAUUCUAAUUUGGAACUAAAUUGUCAAUCCAAAUGUACUAACCUGAUAGACUGAGUCUCAUUACCACCCUCUGCAAUGUGGAAGCCUGUUAAAUGUGAAUUAUACAUUUCACAAUCAAAUGGUCCUUUAUUUAAUCUACCUUCAGAACUUGACUUAUUUUGAUAAUUUUACAAAUAUAUAAGUGAAUUGACAUACAUUCAUUUAUUCACAAAGCAUUUUAAGAGUUACUAAAAGUGAUCCCAUUUUGGAGAAUAGCUUAAAAUAAUUUCUAAUAGGCUUUUAGAGUGGUGAGAUUGCAAAAGGCUCUCUUUUCUAAAAUCUUUUUUAUAUUUUCUAAAUUUACUAUAUAUAAAUAUAAUAUUCUGCAAACAAAAUAUGUUACUUUAAAAAGAAAGACUAUUUUUAAUAUCCUGACUUUCAAAUAAUGGGACAUUGUAAGGUUAUGUACAAAAAAAUAAAAUAUUGAAAACUUUGUAUUUCUUCAGCUGAAAAGAGAUUAUCUGGUUAAAUAUAAGCAAGUGCAUGCUUGAGAGAUUCUCACUGUCUGUAAGGUUCUGAUAGAUAUUUAGAUCAAGGAAAAUUUAACCUGGAAUAACUUUCAAAAAAAUCUUAGAAACAAUGAAAUAAACUUACUAUUGAAGUAUAGAGUAUGAACUAAAGGGGUUGUCAGGAAGAUCCUUCAGAAUAAUAUUUCUGAAUGAUUGAAGAAAACUAGAAAGCAAGAGUGUGCAUGUGGGUGUGUGUGAGUGUGUGUAUGUGUGUGUAAGAUAGAGACAGAAAGAGAAAGAGAGAGUGGGAGAAUUUAAAUAAUGGAAGGUUUCCUUAGAUUGAAUCUUUAGGUUAUCUGUUUGUCAUUCUGAGUCAUUCUCUGAGUAACUCCUGAAGACUGAAUUACUCUAUUCUUUGAAUAAUUGGGAAUGGGCAUAGAUCAUAUUUUGAAUGUCUUCAUUCCUUCCUCCAAGUCACAAAUCUAAGACAGUUUGGCUAUAUAAAUCUGUUUAAAUUAUUAUAAUUAUUCUGAGUGGCAUCAGGUCUGUAAAUACAAUGAAAAAACCCAAAGAACUUCUUACUGUCUAAAGGAUGAUUAUGAAGCUCUAUGUACAUAGCUCCCAUACUGCUUAACUCAUAUUAUUACUUCAUUGCUACUUCACAUUACUUCAUUGCUAUUUGAACUGCCCACAGUUCAUAAUAUAAAAGAAAGAGAAUCCAUCUUACAAGUUGUAUUGAGAUUAGAGGUAAUAUUGGAAUGCCAACAGUCAGGCAGAUUUUUACAAUCAUGUGUCUAAUCAACAAAAGUGCCAGGCUAUUAAUGAACUGCACAGACUAUUUAGAAGCCUAAGACCCUGACCCUGCCAUGAAAGACCUUUAAAACUAACUGAGGAGCUUGUAUCUGGUUCACUUUUUGAGAACUUGCCCAUAUAAGUGAUAUGCCCCGGAGCUUUAUUUGUAUCUUCACGUUACAUAAUUAGAUAAGUAAAUCAGAAUUUCUUUCUUUUAGAAAAAUAUAAAAAUAUUCAGCAAUCUGAAACCACAGCCUGAUAAAUAGCUGGCUUUUGGAAUUAAGCUUAUAAAGUUAUAUGACUAUUCAUGAUAAAAUUUUAACUUUUGACAUAAGUUAAAUAAGCUUAAAUAAAAUUUGUUAUGAAUUUAAGGAUGUGUAUAGUGAAGAUAAUUUUCCUGUUAAGUAAUCUUAUAGAAAUAGUUCAAUGGCUUUCCCCCAUGGCAUUUUCUUACGUGUUUUUACUUUCAGUAAAAUUUUAUAAACAUUCCACUAUUCACAUAUUUUUUAAAAUCUUGGUUAGUUCUGCUAUUUUCAACCUGUUAGAAAAAUCUUGGUUGGUUUUUGCUUAAUGAUUAGCUAUUUGAAUCAGGUUUCUUUGUGGAUUCUAGUUUGCCCCUGUUUCUCUUAAAAAAUAUAUAUAGAUAUAUACUUAGAUAUAAAAUAUUUAUACACACACAUAUAUAUGUAUCUAUUCAUUUCAUCUGGUUUUGUCAAGUUGAAUUAUAUUUUUGAAGAACAGUUUGUCUUCUUAAAUUAUUGUAGAAAAUAGUUGUGAUAUGUAAUUGUACUGUUAGUAAUUAAAUAUAUCUAGGUACUUAGAUGCAUAUGUAGGGGAUUAAUACUUACAUUUACUAUUUUUGGAAAUUCUACCAUCUCACCAACCAUGGGUUAGGCUGGGCUUGUCCCACAUCCUCCCAAUUUUAUCAGAGGCCUUGUCAAAAAAACUGUUAAAAAAAAUUUGCAACAGGUUAGCUAUAACAUCAACUUCCUUCAUUUUAAAGGCCUAGAGAACUCAUAGUUCUUAAGAAUAACAUAUUCAAUUAUAUUUUUAAUUCAUUUCAGAAAAAUUUAUUUGAAAUGCCCAGUUUAAAUGCAACUUCUUUGAACAGUACUUUCUCCCUACCACAGCAGGGAUAUGGUAUAAAUCAGCAGUCCUCAACCUUUUUGGCACCAGGGAGCAGUUACACGGAAGACAAUUUUUCCUUGUACUAGGCGGUAGGGGGAAUGGUUUAAGGAUGGUUCAAGCGCAUUACCUUUAUUUGUGCACUUCAUUUCUAUUAUUAUUACAUUGUAAUAUAUAAUGAAAUAAUUAUACAACUCACUAUAACAUAGAAUCAGUGGGAGCCCUGAGCUGUUUACUGCAACUAGAUGGUCCCAUCUUGGGGUAAUGGGAACAGUGACAGAUCAUCUGGCAUUAGAUUCUCAUAAGGUGUGGACAACCUGCGUUCCUUGCAUGCGCAGUUCACAAUAAAGUUCCCAUUCCUUGAGAAUCUAACACCACAGCAGAUCUGACAGGAGACAGAGCUCAGGUGAUAAUGUGAGCAAUGGGGAGUGGCUGUAAAUACAGAUGAAGCUUCGCUUGCUUGCCUGCUGCUCAUCUCCUGCUUUGUGGCCUAGUUCUGAAUAGGCCAUGUACAAGUGCCAUUCCAUGGCAAAGGGGUUGGAGACCCCUGAAAUAAAUUGUCCAAGAACUACAUAGAUGUUCCCCAUUUAAGAGAACAGAUCAUUAAAUAUCAAUAUGUGUUGGAAAAAUUCCUGAGAUUUCUUCCCACUCUCUUCAAUUUAACAUUCUCUCUGGAGUUAGUAAAGAUCUCAGGCUAUAUACACAUGAUGCUGACUAUGCACUAACCAGCUGUGUUACAUCCUGAAAAUUGUUAUCUGCUAAGCAUUGUUUUCCACUUCUGUAAAAUAAAAAUCAUGAAAUCUACCUCAUGAGAGUUUUCUGGGAAUACAGUUAAAAUAACACUUGUGAAGAGCAUAAUAGAGCCUUUAGACACAAAAUAUUAAUAUGUUUUGACAUAAUCAAAGGAAUAAUGAUGAUGAUCUUCUAACUAAAAUAACAAUGAAAAUUUUCCUAUUGUGAGGUAAUACACUGACCAGUCCAUACCAUAUUUCCACCUCUUCUUAUCAAUGAUUAAUUUCACUUCUUUUACUUCUAAUUUAUAUUGUGAGUUCUCAUGAGUUCUCUCUGAUCACUCUUAUGUACCUCAGGGCCCUCUAACCAAUAUCAACUUUCUGGGACCUAAAAGUUUGAGGUCCACACCAAACUGUGAUUCAUACGAAAAAAAAAUGUGGCCUUAAGUUAUCUCUUUUGAGCAGAUGUAUCUCUUUCCUAACUGAUAGAUCCAUUAAAUCUCUCUCCAAAUUAUUUUCACUUCUCAAACACAGUGGGACACUACUCUUAUUACUUGAUGAAACACAUUUUUUUAUUAUGUCCGCUCUAAAAGAGAUGAUUGGCAAUACAAACAGGAAAGCUUACGUGAAGACAAGACCAUAUAUCCCUCAUCCUUUUUCUGUAAUAAGAUUAAUCCCUAGUGACAUUAUUCAUGAGCUUAUGAAAAUUUAUCAUUACUUGGAAAUUCUUCCUGCAAGUUCAAUACCUUCAAAACCUUCAUAUUUGUGUGCUUCUCUUAAACAGGAAAACAGAAUUCCCACUCAAAUGCUUUGGCAAGGACUGCUUCGGAACCAUAAUAAUAGUUGUAUUAUUUUCAUUCAUUCUCAAUUCUAUUCUCCUUCUAGUUGGUAGCAGCACUGUUUCCAAACAUUUUCUUUCACUAAAGAGUUUAAAAAUUGAUUACUGUUAUGUAAGGUGGAACUCUUCACAGGUGUACUUCACAGUUGCUCACUUUCUGAUAAUAUACACAAAAAUGUCAAAAUCCUCACACCCAAAUUAGAAAUUCUAGAAUUUAAGGAUUUUGUUUUAAAGCUACAGGGCUAUUCAUUUUCUUACUAAAUCAGUUAUGAGCCCAAUACAUAUUGUGAUUAAUGUUCUUGUAUCAUCAUUAUUUAGAGUUUAGAGAGAGACAGAAAAUACUUCUAUAAAUAUCAAUGAGAUUAUAUGGUUUUCCUGUGUUUAGCUUAUUUCACUUAGAACAAUGUCCUCUAGGUUCAUCCUUGUUGUCACAAAUGACAGAAUUUUCUCUUUUUGAGGCUGAAUAGUAUUUCAUUGUGUAAAUACAUAUAUCAAAACAUCAUAUUUUGCUCCAUUAAUGUAUAUGAUUAUGAUUUGUCAACGAUAAAUAACAUUAAUAAUAAAUGCUUCUCAUAUCUGUGCUUACUAAAGUUUGGUUCAACUAUAAACAUUCCUUGAAGAUGGAUCUAGUGUCAGUUCAGAGAUAUAGAGAGCUGGAAAGAGAAUCACUUCCAUACUUAAAAACUGUAAAUGAAUGAUUUUCUUGAACCCAACAUAAAGCUGAAGUCAGAGGGCUACCCUCUAACUCAAAAUCUGGGAAGUGGCAGAGCCUAUAAGAAGACACAUGACCUGAGCAUUUGCUUACCUGAGAUAAACACUGUCAUGCCACAUAAAGAGUGAUAACAAGAAUUCACCUAAAAUUUUUUAAGCAAAUGUCUAAGUUCUAAGUAAGAUGAAAGCGUUUCAGGGCUGCAGAUACAGAUGAAUUACACUCUGUUGCAGACUUUCCUCUGUGAAUGUCCAAGCACUUUUACGGAAGAGUAGGGAGAACCAUGGUAAAGCUGCUCUGGUGGUAUUUUAACCUUUGUGGGCCAUAUGAUCCCAGUCACACCUACUUAGCCCAUCCAUUUGUAUCUGAAAAGCAGUUGUAGACUUCUUGAUACAUGGAUGUGACUGUUUUCCAAUAAAACUUUGUGGAUUCAUACAUUUGUAUUUCAUGUAAUUUCUAUGUUUCACGAAUAUUGUUUCUUUUGAUUUUUAGAACCACUGUAAAAUGUAAAAUAAUUCUGAGCUUCAGGCUGUACAGAAACAGGCAGUAGGUUGGAUUUGGUCAGUAGGUUGUAGUUUUCUGACUACAGGAGAUAGUUUCUCCAACAUCUGAAAUAUUCACAUUCUAAAAAGAAAUGCGUAAGAUCCACAUAAUUUUCUACUAUAGCUGUGACAAAUUACCACAAAUUGAGUGACUUAAUGUAACAAAAAUGUAUCGUCUCACAGUGCUGGAGGUAACAAGUCUGGGCACCAUGUAGCUCACUUGAGAUUCUCUGCUCUGGGUUUCACUGGGCUGAACUCAGCAUCAGCAUGGUUGAUGAAGGCUCGAGAGAAGAAUCUGUUUCCAGGCUUAAUUCAAGUUCUUGUCAGAAUUCAGUUCCAUAUAGUUGUAGGAUUGAGGUCCCUGUUUCCUUGCUGGCUGUCAGCAGGAAGUCUCUCCAAAUCCUAGAAGAGAAUGGAACCAUUCAAGUCUAGCAACACCAAGACAAAUCCCUCACACACUUCAAAUCUGACUCCUGCCUUACCUCCCUGAAGCAUCUCUUCUUUCAUUUCUCUUCUUUUUCAUUUCUCUGAAUUAUGCUUGCACUUGGAUUUUUUUUGGCUAAUCUAGGAAAAUCUCUUUCUUAAAAUUUAGAGUUACCAAAAUUAAUUCCAUCUAUAAAGUUCCUUUUGUCUUGUAACACAUUCACAAGCACAACCCUGGAGAUGAAUAGAAAUCAUAAGAGGAGGAGUAGAUGUCAAAAAGUCCAUGAUGCCACCACAAGCUAGUCCUCCAGUCUUGUCAAGUUGCUGAGAGAUCCAAUCCUUUCACCUCACCCUUUUCUUACAGCAGUAUCUCUCCGCCUAAAGAGGAGUAAGCACAAACAUGUAAACUCAAAUAAACUCAAUAAACCCUUCUAUUAAAACUGAACAUGAGCGUGUUUAUUACCAUCAUCUUUGCCAGAAAGUAGGCUGCCUGUUGAGCAAUCUCACACAGUGGCAACAUGGAUUUUACAGGUCAGGAAUAUAAGCGAAAAUCUGUGAACUGUCACAAGAAAUAAUUUUAGUAAAUAGCUCUUAAAUGUACCAAAAAUAUCAUUUUGCACUCCAACUAAACAGUUAGCAAGGGUCAUUAUAACUGUACUGCUGGAAAUAAAACAGCUGUAACGGUGAGAAUUUAUGAGUGCCUCUCUAGUUUGGGUUUCUAAAAUGACCUGUAAUGAUUUUUAGGCCAGCUGAGGUUUCAUGGACCAACUAAAUUGAAAGCAACAAAUGAAAGUUAACUCCUAGCUUUGUUUUAUCUAGGUAUUCUGUAGAGUCAGAUAAUUUGUUUCUAAAUUACACUGUAUGCCACAGUGAUGAGAAUAAUUCUAAAUAUAUUAUAGUUUCCAACUACAUACAUAUUUUUGAUUACAGAAGAGUAAUGUUAUAGAGAAUGAUCGCAUGGUAGAACAUAAAGAGCAUUGUGAAAAAUUAGUUCUGUUUUCCUUUAUGGCCUUGGAUAAAUCUCACACAGUCUGGACCUCUAUUUUCUGACCCAUAAAACUAGAAUGACACCUUGUAUUCACAAUAUGCUUCCCAAUAAAACUUUUAAGCUGUACAUUUGAGGAUAAAGCACUCAUAAGCACAUCGAACAAGUCAGACAUAAUUACAAUGCAAUCAGUACUUAGAGUAUAAUGAUAUCUCCUAGUGUCUAUGAAAAUAUUCACAAUGAAUACACUGUUCAUUGGGUUGACCUUCAGCUUGUGUCUGUGUAGAAUUCUUUGCUCUCCAUAUCCCACUCCCUCAUAUACUCAUUAAGCAAUAUUCUUCAUGGUCCAGUAAACAUGUUUGCUUUUUGAUGCAGACUUAACAGGGUGCUGUGCCUCUUCCUCUUAGCAGUUAUACCCUGCUUUAUGACCCACUGGGCCCUAAAUUUAUUACCUGACAUUUGUCAUUGCAGCAGAUGUGUAUUUGAGUGUGUCUCCAUACAUAGAAGUAAAUAAUUUAUGAAACAGAAGUAUGCACAUCAAUUGAGAUUUUAAAAAAUGUCUAAAAUGUUGCUUUCCAAAAAAUGACUUAGCAUAAUUGUCACUUGGUGAGGAUAAUCUUAAGAAAUGGCGGGCGGAUCACGAGGUCAGGAGAUUGAGAUCAUCCUUGCUAACACAGUGAAA